rnacentral:rRNA from 1 species
CUACGGGAUGCUCCAGUGAGGAAUAUUGCACAAUGGGGGCAACCCUGAUGCAGCAACGCCGCGUGGAGGAUGACGCAUUUCGGUGUGUAAACUCCUUUUAUCAGAGAAGAACCAUGACGGUAUCUGAUGAAUAAGCUCCGGCUAACUCCGUGCCAGCAGCCGCGGUAAUACGGAGGGAGCAAGCGUUAUUCGGAAUCACUGGGCGUAAAGGACGCGUAGGCCGGUCUGUAAGUCAGGUGUGAAAUGCAAUGGCUCAACCAUUGAACUGCACUUGAAACUGCGGACCUAGAGUAUGGAAGGGGCAGAUGGAAUUAGUGGUGUAGGGGUAAAAUCCGUAGAUAUCACUAGGAAUACCGAAAGCGAAGGCGAUCUGCUGGGACAUAACUGACGCUGAGGCGUGAAAGCGUGGGGAGCAAACAGGAUUAGAUACCCGUGUAGUC